GUCGAGAAUCUUUCACAAUGGGGGCAACCCUGAUGGAGCGACGCCGCGUGGAGGAUAAGGUCUUCGGAUUGUAAACUCCUGUCAUGCGUGAACAAGGUUGCUUGGUUAAUACCUGGGCAAAUUGAUGGUAACGCAAGAGGAAGAGACGGCUAACUCUGUGCCAGCAGCCGCGGUAAUACAGAGGUCUCAAGCGUUGUUCGGAAUCACUGGGCGUAAAGGGUGCGUAGGUGGCGUGGUAAGUCAGAUGUAAAAGCCCGGGGCUCAACCUCGGAACUGCAGCCGAUACUGCCAUGCUAGAGUACUGGAGAGGUGACUAGAAUUCUCGGUGUAGCAGUGAAAUGCGUAGAUAUCGAGAGGAAUACCAAAGGCGUAGGCAGGUCACUGGACAGUUACUGACACUGAGGCACGAAGGCCAGGGGAGCGAACGGGAUUAGAUACCCUGGUAGUCC
rnacentral:rRNA from 1 species